GACGAACGCUGGCGGCGUGCUUAACACAUGCCAGUCGAACGGAAAGGCCCCUUUGGGGGUACUCGAGUGGCGAACGGGUGAGUAACACGUGAGUAACCUGCCCUUGACUUCGGGAUAACUUCAGGAAACUGGGGCUAAUACCGGAUAGGAAUCCUUGCUGCAUGGUGGGGGUUGGAAAGCUUCGGCGGUUUUGGAUGGACUCGCGGCUUAUCAGCUUGUUGGUGGGGUAGUGGCUUACCAAGGCUUUGACGGGUAGCCGGCCUGAGAGGGCGACCGGCCACAUUGGGACUGAGAUACGGCCCAGACUCCUACGGGAGGCAGCAGUGGGGAAUAUUGCACAAGGGGCGGAAGCCUGAUGCAGCAACGCCGCGUGCGGGAGGACGGCCUUCGGGUUGUAAACCGCUUUCAGCAGGGGCGAAGCUUGUGGUGACGGUACCUGCAGAAGAAGCACCGGCUAACUACGUG
rnacentral:rRNA from 1 species